rnacentral:sRNA from 1 species
AAUUAUGAUGAUGAAGAACAGAAUGGCAAAUAAUAAUGGUGUCGGACUCGCGGGCGGUAAGCAACUUCCCCAAACAAUCUA